AAUGAAAUUAUGAUUAUUAGAAUAAAAUAAAAAUAUUAAAUAAAAUAUUCAAUUUUCUCAUAAAACAAUAUUUUUAAAACACUGCAUAAAUAAUUUUUACAGUGUAAAAGCAAAAUAAAUUCAUAUAUAUCGUAAUACAGUAAGCCAGAGUAUUUAAUUUAAUUUACAGUAACAAGGGGGCCCUCGAAUAACCGAAAGUAAGAAAAUUUGUGACCCUACAAUUUGGAGGAUGCAAAUCCAAUGGUGGUCCUCGAUGAAAUCAGCUAUCUAUAGACUCUCCUGAGCUUGAAAUGGGUGGUGAGAUUAUAUAAUCUCAGUGAGUAAACAAAUACCAUCUAAAAUAUCUAAAGCCAAGUAAAUGGAGACAGAUAAAACAAUUUAAUAUACUGUAAUUCAUCACCUUUCAACUCAUUUCAUUCAAAUAAUAUCAAUUCAUAUAAAUCGAGUAAUUAACAUGGCUUAUGAAUUUCUUAAAACUUUGGCUCGUGCCAAAAUCAUUUUUAUACCCAGUUAUCAGGGAUGCCUUGAUCGAGGGCUAUCCCAACCGAGUCCGCCCAGGCUAUUAAAAAGUUACGUACGCAUAAAUCAUGUUUUUAUUUUAAAAAACAUAGUCAUUCCUUGGCGUUAGCAGAAUUCAUCAUCAUGAGGUGGUUUGGCGUGAAGUGAACUCUAUAGUUAUACCUCGGGAGUUACCCUACUCGCCUCUCCAACCGAGGUAAGAAUAUGACCAGGUUUCGUGCCCCUCUAAUAGGCUAGUCCACAGAACCAGCCCACUGCAGCAAGCUAAACCCACCAUACAAUAAAAAUUCAAUAGCAUAACAUGGCAAUUUUAUCAUUAUCCAGCCUAUCAAGGCAAAUAACAGUUUAUACAUUUCAACACAAAUACCAAUUCAGCCAUUCAUGCCAAUAUUGUCAUAAGCCAAUCAAUUAGAAUCAUGAAUUUACAACACAUUAAGUGGUCUCCAAUUACUCUAUUUUCAAAUUCAUUAUUCAAUUUUAAAACAAUUUUAUGAAAUCAUUUCAUUAAAUCACAUUUGGUUUAUAAAACCGAAAAAUUAAUCAUUUAAUUCAUUUUCCAUGAAAUUCACAAAAUCGGAUAAAAACCACUUUAGAUAAUUAAGAUGAUAGUAAGGUUACUCAAAAUGUCUAGAGUGCAGAUUUUCGAAGUACUCUAACUACUGGUCCUCGUAUGCAAUUUCCUUGCCUUUAUCAGAGGGCUUACCACCUUGACAUAGUACAAAAUUGAGAAACUUACUACAUUAGUACUAAAUCGAAAUUAAACUAAUUUAGACUACUAAUGCAUGAUAUGGAAUGCAAAAUGCACGGGUAACCAUCUAAACCCGACAUUGGCCUAAUUCGUCUUAUCACCCGAUUAAUUGGCCAACGCAUCCAAUUUAGCUCCAAAUUGCUCCAUUUCUUUUCCAAUACCUUAAUUCACCAAACACUAGUCAAAUAACCUAAAAUUUGGCAAAACCAUCUUCACUUUUCUUCUUAGAAUUUUCUGUCAAUAAUGGUGCAUUAACACUGUGAUUUUUCUUACUACUUUUCCACACCAUAAUUCAUCAUUUUCUAACCAAUUCUCUUAAAAUAAAAAUCAAAUUCAUCGUCACUCAAUACAAGGUAGGUUCGGCCAUUGAUGGGUGAUGGGGAAAAUGAAUUCUUUUCUUGUUGUUUUGCUUCUAGACAUGGUAAACUAACUAAAACACUAAUAUAACUUAAAAUCAAAUCAAUCGAAAAUCAUUCUCUCUCCAUACCCAUUUGGCUAGCCAUGAAUUUACCAUGAAAACAUGAAAUUUAACCAUGGAAAAUAAGGAGAAAUGCUUAAGAAAAAUAGAUUUCAAGUUUAAAUUGAGAAAUCCUACCUUUUUCACUUGUUUUCCUUGAUUUUUCACACUUUUUCUCUUGAAAUUCUCCACCUAGGGUUCUUGUUCUUUCUUUUCUUCCUUUUUUCUUCUUUGGCCGGC
rnacentral:lncRNA from 1 species